UGGGGAAUCUUGCACAAUGGAGGAAACUCUGAUGCAGCGACGCCGCGUGAGCGAAGAAGCCUUUCGGGGUGUAAAGCUCUUACGCCAGGGACGAUAAUGACGGUACCUGGAGAAGCAGCUGCGGCUAACUACGUGCCAGCAGCCGCGGUAAUACGUAGGCAGCAUGCGUUGUUCGGAAUUACUGGGCGUAAAGGGUGCGUAGGCGGCGCUCUAAGUUUGGUGUGAAAUCUCCCGGCUUAACUGGGAGGGUGCACUGAAAACUGGGGCGCUCGACUAUGGGAGAGGAAAGCGGAAUUCCUGGUGUAGCGGUGAAAUGCGUAGAGAUCAGGAGGAACACCUGCGGUGCAGACGGCUUUCUGGACCAUCACUGACGCUGAGGCACGAAAGCGUGGGUAGCAAACA
rnacentral:rRNA from 1 species